rnacentral:rRNA from 1 species
UUUCUGGUUGAUCCUGCCAGAGGUUACUGCUAUCGAGGUUCGACUAAGCCAUGCGAGUCGAAUGUAGCAAUACAUGGCGUACUGCUCAGUAACACGUGGACAGCCUGCCCUUAGGACGGGUAUAAACCCGGGAAACUGGGUAUAAUUCCCGAUAGGUCUCGUCUGCUGGAAUGCAUCGAGAUCCAAAGCUCCGGCGCCUAAGGAUGGGUCUGCGGCCUAUCAGGUAGUAGUGGGUGUAGCGUACCUACUAGCCUACAACGGGUACGGGUUGUGAGAGCAAGAGCCCGGAGAUGGAUUCUGAGACACUAAUCCAGGCCCUACGGGGUGCAGCAGGCGCGAAAACUUUACAAUGCUGGGAACAGCGAUAAGGGAACCUCGAGUGCCAGGUUACAAAUCUGGCUGUCGUGAUGCCUAAAAAGCAUUAUAUAGCAAGGGCCGGGCAAGACCGGUGCCAGCCGCCGCGGUAACACCGGCGGCUCGAGUGGUAACCGUUAUUAUUGGGUCUAAAGGGUCUGUAGCCGGCCGGAUAAGUCUCUUGGGAAAUCUGGCAGCUUAACUGUCAGGCUUUCAGGGGAUACUGUCUGGCUCGAGGCCGGGAGAGGUGAGAGGUACUUCAGGGGUAGGGGUGAAAUCUUGUAAUCCUUGAAGGACCACCAGUGGCGAAGGCGUCUCACCAGAACGGACCUGACGGCAAGGGACGAAAGCUAGGGGCACGAACCGGAUUAGAUACCCGGGUAGUCCUAGCCGUAAACGAUACUCGCUAGGUGUCGGCCACGGUGCGACCGUUGUCGGUGCCGUAGGGAAGCCGUGAAGCGAGCCACCUGGGAAGUACGGCCGCAAGGCUGAAACUUAAAGGAAUUGGCGGGAA